rnacentral:lncRNA from 1 species
CGGCCCCUGCGACUCCUGGUGCCCGGCUGGGACACGUGGGGCCGGCUUUGCGGAGUCAGCAGGGCCAAGGUGCGCGGGGUGCGCUCCCCCCCGGAACCCCGCCCCUUCUCACCCCAUCUCGCUUUUUUGGGAGAGGAGAGUGGAGCCGUCAGCACCCACUGGCAGUGUCGGUGCUGUGCUGGGAGUCCUCCCAGACCAGCCCACUCCUCCUGGUUUGAGCUUCCGAUCCAUCCCUACUCCUUUACGGUUCUUCUUCCCCGUAGUUAACCUGCGGAGAGGAGGAGGUACUGUCUCCGCACAAGGUACUGCGGAGGUACCUUGCGGAGGAACCUUGCGGAGGAGGUACUGCGGUGGGGAGGCAGGGGGGAGGCGCAUCUGCCUCCGCACAAGGGGUCUAAUGGCUUGCUUAUUCCUUCUAGGCCAGGUUGAAAGGUUUUUAAAAGCAGGUGGGGGUGCCAGGAUAGUGAGAAAAACAAGAAAAGACACUGCUUUUUACCCCAUGCGGGGCAGAGCUGGUCUCCUUUCUGCAGGUGUUGAGGGGAGUUGAGUAGGAGCCCAGAGCUGGUACAGGCCCCGUUUAACGUGCCCCCGCAGAGUGAGGGCUGGGGGUCACCCCAUAGGCAGGGGAGCCCUUCUGGGAGGGAAUUCCUGCUUAGGUGGGAGGUUGACCUGAAUGACAUCUAGGUCCUCUACCUCCCAGAUGCCGAAUUUUCAGGGAAGGAACCAAAUGGAUGUAUGGCCCAUGCCUGGGUUUGAAUCCCAGUUCUGGCCUUCAUUCCUCCAGGCCUCCAUUUCCUUGUCUGCACUAUGGGGCCAUGGUGAGAACUCUGAAAUAACACCAACUGCCUGGUGCUUGGUAGGUGCCACAUUACAAAAGCGGUGGGAAGGAGGCCCUUUGGUUUCCAUGUCGGUGGUCAUGUCCCACAGUCCCCGUUGCCAUCCUGAUUAUGGAAAACUUCAUUUCAUGCUCCAAAUGUUCCUCAAUUCCUGGCACUGUUCUAGGUCCUGCACCCAGGCUGGUAUGAAAAAGGUGCCGAGAAGGUCCCAUGCAUCACCAGCCUGGAGGUAGCAGCAGAAGGGAAACCAGUGCCUCUGAGAGUGGGCAACUGUGCCCCAUCCACCUCCUCUUCUUCUUGGAGAUCUCAAGAUAAGACAAGAGACAUCAACCUGGGAUUGGGUUUCUGGGCAGAGAGUAAAAGUGAGCUCCUUCUGCCUGUGCACGCAGCUUCCCUCGGUACUGGGAUAGCCGAGAUCCCUUACUAGAAGCAGCUCACAAAACCUCCCCCAGUUACUGGGAUAGCCCAGACACCUUCCUAGGGCAGCAGCGGAAGAAAGAAGGGGACAAAAUACCAACGACCAGAAAGAAGAAAGAACUUAGCCUCAGUCACCAGCCACUGGGAGCUGAUAGUAACUGAAGGGAUGGAAAGCCCUCUGGGACAGUUUUAGUGGGAGCCCUCCAGAGCCUGGAGAGACUGCAGGUGGAGCAGGAAGGUGGGGAAGAAUUAGAGCAGUGACCCCGGCCACUUUUGGCCUCACGGUUCUGCACAAUGAGACAUUGCUCAUCUUCAGAGAACCGUGCCAUUCUGGCCAUCUGGCAUCCUAGACAAUUUUCCACUGUCUCUCAGUAUCCAGCCAUCCAGCCAUCUAGCCUCCUAACUACUUCUCUGUGCUGGUCCAGCCCAGUGCUCAGAGUUAGGAUAUUUUUAUGAAUAAAACAGACCUAGCUUCUGCCCUCGUGGAGCUUACAGCGUGGGGCGAAAGGAGACUGAUCAAAAUGCCACACACAUGUAAUUUACAACCUUGGGAAGUGCCAAGAAGGGGAAGUGUUGGGUGCCACUGAGAACAUUCACAGAGGUUAACCUGGGGCUGAGGUGGAGGAAAGGUCAGAUGGAAGCUGUCUAACCACCCUGGGCUUCUGGCUUAGGAUGUGUAGGGCUAGCAGCUCAGCCCAUGAGGUUGUGUCUUGAACUUGGGUAUUGAUGGAAUAGCUAUAGAAACAGAACAACCAUGAAGUGAAGAUGGUGAAUGAAGAUCCUCUCAUCAGCUUGCGAUUGCAUGACAGAGGAGGCUGCAAGGACACUCAGGUGUGAAGACGGGUGAGUUGCCAGUUCUGGAGUGCAGAUGUGGUUACCAGCAGCCUCUGUUUUGGAGGCUACUCUGAAGCCAUAUUCAGCUUGGGAGGCCUCCUGCAGGGUUGACCCAGUUCUGGAACAAACCAAGGUGUUUGGGUCUGAACCAGGGCCUGAGCAGAUCCCAUCCCAUAUCCAGCUGAACUGUCUCACCCAGUCUGCAUUGAGUAUCGGUCCCAAGUGGAGGCCACAGGAAGAAGUGCUGUUCCCUAGUGGUCUUAGAUGCUUCAUCAGCUAAAGCGUGGGGCUCAGUCUCCUGGUGUCCACCUGUAAAAUGAAAGUGGUGUCCCAGAGUCUCUCCAAAGCUCCUUGUGGUGACUCUAUGGUCCUAAGAAACCGUUCACUUUAUAGGCCUAUCUCAGUGCACAGCUGAUGCCUCUGAUGCAGGGGUGGCUGUGGCUGUGCUGCCGCUCCUAUGGGGGAGGCAUCCUGGCCAGCACGCUCUUUGCACCUGAUGACUCCCUACGGCAGCUGCACAGCACUGCAGUUAGAAGCCCAGGCCACGUGGAUUUCAGCCCCGGCCCUACCACUCAGUAGCUGUGUGACCCUGGGCCAGGUGUUUGACCUCCCAAGGCACCCAUUUCCUCAUGGAGGUAAUAAUAGUAUCUAUAACCUCAGUUUACCACACGGAUGAAAAGACAAUGCAUGUAAGGGUUCCUCCGCGGCACCUGGCUCAGUGAGCAAUCUGUAAUUGUGAGCUGUUGUCAUUAAGAGGCCGUGGGAACACUAGUCGGUGGUGUGUAUAUCCAGGGGUGGGUGUUGCUUCUGGCAUCUCUCCUAAAUUCAAGCUGAUGAUGAAAGUCAUCAGAGAGACAGAACAAAAUACCCCACAAGCUAUGACAAAAGGAACCUGUAUUUCAUAAAUCAGAGAAGAGUAAAGGACAGAGACCAAAGCCAAUAACUAGUGUUUAAACAUGCAGAGAGAAAGAGAGACAGAGAGAGAGAUGUUUCCUCUGCCUUCCACUACCAUGGGCAGGUGGGAAAUACCACCGACCCUGGGGACCCUGGGAUGGUCCCUGAGUGGGCCGUGUGCCAGGAGCCUGGCCAGAGAGCCAAGAGUGGUCAUGGCCCCCUGGGAGUUCUACUCUUUUCUAGGCAGCAGCAGUGACUGAGACCUUGUACACAAAACUCAUUCAUUCAAUCAGUAUUUAUCUAGGACUUCCAGAAACAGUGCUAAGCUGUGCUGGAGAGUGAUAGUAAAAAAGACACAGUCCCUACCAGCGAGAGACAUUGGGUCCAGCUGAUGAGUAAGACAAGCCAACAGAGUAGGGCAACAAGACCAGGAUCCCUUCGGGGCAUUACUGAGCACACGGCCUCGGUCUGGAAUUCUGGACACAUUCUUCACCUUAACUGGGGGUGCAUUGGGGAUUUAAAACCCCCAAGAGCCAGGGAUCUUUCCCACCCAAGCUAAUUUCUGGGCAGCUGUGCCACUGCAGGGCAUGCAGAAGGAAGAGAGCCUUCCAGAGGAAAGUCGCCUUGUUCCUUGCUUUGUGACCCUCAUCUCUGCGAGGUAGAGAAGAAAAGGAGGGCUCUUCCAUCGGGAGCUUCCAAGGUUCCGGGUGAGAGCUAGCCAGCUCUGCAUUUGGAGCAGAGAGAGCAGUCCAUUCAACAUGGCAAUGCCCACACCCACCUCACAAGGCAUGGAUGACACAAAGAGAUGGCUUGCCUGCAAGAGACCCAGCUGGUCUGGAGUUGGAGGCACACUUCAUUUCUCUGCCCAGCUCGGCAGGCGGCUGGAGCAAACCAGGAGAUCGCCUCAAAUGUUUUAAAUGUCAAUAUGGUCCCUUCUUGCUGGCUUGCCAAGAUUUGACCAGCUAAAUUGGCCUGUGUGGUGUGUUCCCUGCAGUGCACGAUGAGAUAAAAAUGACUGGGCAUCCAGAUUAAUGACUGGAUCACAUGCAGGAACGUACUGGCUGUGAGCAGCCCUGGGCCAGGGCAGAGGUGAACUUGACAAUCAUGUGGACGCUGGCUUUUGAUUACUGCUUCUUCUGGGCUCACGCUACCCAGGGCUCUCUUUAGACCAUCUCUAGGUGAACUUUCUGCCCCAGGAAUGAUCACCUCCAUUUUACUGGUGAGAGGUUCAAGGACUUCCCUUCCUUCUUUCCUCCCUUCCCCUUCUCUCCACUUCCUUCUCCUUCCCUCCUACAUCAUUUUUCCCUUUCCUUUCUUCCUCCCUUCCUUUAGCAAAUAGCCCUGGAGCAGCUGACCGGUUCUAGGAGCUGAGAACAGGGUGAUGGGUAAGAGGGACAAGGGCUUGCUCUCACGGUGUUUACAUUCUAGUGGGGGCAGGAGACAAGUCAACAGAUCAAUAAUUUCAGAUAAGAACAGCUGCUCUAAGAAGAACAACUGGGGAGUGAGAUGCAGUCCACUUUAGGCCGGUGGUUGGGGACGGCUUCUCUUGAGAGGUGGCAUUUAGGGGACUAAAUGGUAACAAUGAGCUGGCCUUGGGCAGGUCUGGGGGCAGAGCCAUCAGUGCCAGGGCACAGAGCUAGGAAAUGCAGAGCAGCUGGUACCCACGACUGGUCUUGCCUGAACCCCUAAUCCUUGCUCUUUCUGCCACAUCCUGCUUUCCCACUUGGCCAAAGAAUUGUGGUUGGCCAAAGGUGGGGCUAAGCUGUGCAGUGGGAGGGGCCAGGCUGAGCUGGAGGUGGCCAGGAGCCUCCUGGUACAGGGCCCUGGUGCCAGUGUCCUCACCCUCCCAGAAUCCUGUUCAUUUGUGUUGAGGACAUGGGGUGAAGGAUCUGAAAAUGCAUGCGCAGGCAGACGACCCACCCAGGCCAUUCACAGCCGCAGCAGUUUGGGACUCUCCGCUUGGCCCAGGUAGGGAGGCACUUGCGGUCCUUCCCAGGCCUGCCGUGAGGCUCCAGGGCCAGCGCCUAUCCCCAGCCCCAAGGAGGCACUCCGAAGAACCUAUUUUAAAUCUCAGCUCAGCAUUUUUGGCCAACUUACAGAGAAGCUGCAAGAUGAGUAAAGGAACUUGCCUAUAUUUUUUAUCUAGAUUUACCAGUUGUUGACAUUUGCCCAUCUGCUUUGUCAUUGGUGCUCUCUCUAUUCUGUGUGUGUGUGUGUGUGUGUGUGUGUGUGUGUGUGUGUGUGUGUGUGUUUGUGUUUGUU